AGCAGCCGCGGUAAUUCCAGCUCCAAUAGCGUAUAUUAAAGUUGUUGCAGUUAGAAAGCUCGUAGUUGAAUUUCGGGAUCAAUUUAUCGGUCGUGCCUAUGGUAUGAACUGGUACAAUUGGUUUCUCCCUUCUGACGAAGCAUGAUGUCAUUAAUUUGGUGUCGUGGGGAAUCAGGACUGUUACUUUGAAAAAAUUAGAGUGUUUAAAGCAAGCAUUAGCUUGAAUACAUUAGCAUGGAAUAAUGAAAUAGGACGUUUGAUCCUAUUUCGUUGGUUUCUAGGAUCGACGUAAUGAUUAAUAGGGAUAGUUGGGGGCAUUAGUAUUCAAUUGUCAGAGGUGAAAUUCUUGGAUUUAUUGAAGACUAACUACUGCGAAAGCAUUUGCCAAGGAUGUUUUCAUUAAUCAAGAACGAAAGUUAGGGGAUCGAAGACGAUCAGAUACCGUCGUAGUCUUAACCAUAAACUAUGCCGACUAGGGAUCGGAUGAUGUUAAUUUUUUAAUGACUCA
rnacentral:rRNA from 1 species